AGGUGUUGUAGCUGGCUUAAGAGGGUAGAUGGAAGCAUCUGCCUCGGGGUGCCAUGGCAGGCUCUCCACAGAAGUGGCUGAGGAUUUGAGAUGAGGCCAGAGAGUGACAAGGAGCAGCACGUGCAGGGAUGGUUUCCAAGCGCUGCGAUUGUUUUCUCUUCUGUUUAUCAGGUGAAGAGGUGCCUGAAGCCCCAUCCUGGCUGGCCAGCGCACACCUCGCUGAGAACGAAAGCUGCUUUCCAGUAAUUCAGAAAGCUAAGUUACGUCUCGGCCUCGAGCAUCUGGGGCGUGUGCCUGUGCUUUUGGACCUGUCUGUAGCAUUUGGCACCUGCAUUAAUACUUUCUUGGCAUAUGUGCAGGCUUUUGGGGCCUGUGUCUUGGGGGGAGGGUUGGGG
rnacentral:lncRNA from 1 species